UUCUUCCGGAAAUAACUUUUUCCUCAUGGUACAUAUUCAUCUUUCUUUCACAGUUGAGUUCUCUUGAAUAGAGAAUGAAUUUUAUUAUUAUCAUUCAUUUCUAUUACAUUCUCCUUACACCUAUUUCUAAUAAUCUAUUCUUCCAAAAAAAAGGGAAACAAGGAAACAAUAUACUGAAAAAUAAACUAGGAGAUGCUACAGAUACUUUCUCUAAUUAGGAAGGUUUUCCUCUAAUUAUCAUUCAUGUAGUGUGCGGUUUGCCAAUGCAACAAAACAGAGACAUUGGCCCCUGUAGGUUUGUUACAACCACUGUUCAUUCCUAACAGCAGUUCUGUUCAAAUAUUUUUAUGGAUUUUGUUGGGAGGUUACCCAAGGUGCAAGGCAAGGAUACUAUUUUGGUCAUGGUGGAUUGGCUUACCAAAUAUGCCCACUUUUUGGCCCUCACUCAUCCUUUUACAGGAAUCCAAGUGGCUCACUUGUUCAUCAAAGAAGUGGUAAAACUCUAUGGGUUCCCUUCCACAAGAGUUUCUGACCGGGACAGGUUGUUUCUGAGCAAUUUUUGGCAUGAAUUAUUUAGACAGGCUGGCACCAACCUAAAGUUUAGCACAAUCUACCAUCUUCAAUCAAACGGCCAAACCGAGGUUGUUAAUCGUUGUUAAGAGACUUAUCUAACCUGUAUGACAGGGUCUCAACCCAGGAAAUGGCUACAAUGGUUGCCCUGGGAUGAAUUCUGGUUUAAUACCAAUUAUAGUGCCUCUACAAAAAUGAUCCCUUUCAAAGCUCUCUAUGGUCAUGACACCCCGUUAAUUUUCAAGAGCAAUACUAUUCCAUCUAAAGUCCAAAGCGUUAAUCAACUCCAACAGGAAGGUGAUGCGCUCUUGAAGGAGUUAAGGGCAAACCUAUGCAAAGCCCAACAGCAGAAUUGAGUUCAAGCUAAUAUGCACAGGCAAGAGGUGGAGAUUCAUAUGGACGACUAGGUUUAUCUUAAAUUGCAGCCUUAUAGAUUAAGGUCCUUGGCAAGAAGACCAAAUGAAAAACUAAGUCCAAGGUUCUAUGACCCUUACAAGGUGCUUGAACGUAUAGGGGCAAUUGCUUACAAGUUAGAACUUCCUGCUCACUCCCGAAUCCAUCUAGUCUUCCAUGUGUCUCUCCUUAAGUGCACAGUCCAACCAACAACUCCUAUUCAGGCUCUCCCAUCUGCACUAACAAAGGACUUAAUCCUUGGUGUUUCUCCCAAGCUCUUUCGGAUACCCGAUUCAAUAAGGAUGGCGACUUGGAAGUUUUAAUCUAGUGGCAACAUCUCCCCUCUUUUGAAAAUAGUUGGAAAGCAACGGCUACCAUCAGCAAGGAGUUUCUUGCUUUUAACCUUGAGGACAAGGUGAAACUUCACGGAAGGAGUAUUAAUAGGUUUAGUGGCAAGGUUUAUGUGAGUAGAAAUAGAGGAGAUAGAUAGUUAUAACUUCCUAGCAUGUUGUUAUAACCUCCUUGAGUUGUGUUGUGUAAUUACAUUUUAUAUUUUGUUUAUGUUAGAUUAUUGUGGGCAGUUUUUUAGUUGGUUGUAAACGGGAAAAUAUGUGGAGAGUCCAGUUCUCUCGAAAGACCUGGAGAUUUGUAUGUUGAUAUUUUCGGUUUUUUCCACUUUGUUAUAACAGUUUGUGGUUUCUAAUUACGUUCUUCUGUGUAAUCUGUUUUUACAUCUAUUUAGUGAUUUUUGGAUACCUAUCACACACACACACACACACACACACAUAUAUAUAUAUAUAUAUAUAAACUAGAAUUGACUCCUUAUUUCUAUAAUUUUAACCAAUCUCAACAAUUCGUUAUUAAAGUAUGGAUGUUUGAUUAAAUAAAAUGGCCAUAUUUUCUUAAUUUCUCCACCACAACUAGAAUCACAUCAAAUCCUUUUUAUUUGGGAGCUCCGUAAUUUAAUCCAUUCUAACUUCUCAAAUUGGAUUGGGAAGGGGCAGACCAAUAUUAUAGUUGUAAAUGUAGAAGCAGAAAAUAUUAAGAAACUCGAGAAUUAUGUAUCAUUUGCAAUAAAAGGGAAACUACAAGAGGUGCAAACCUCCAAUUGCCAAUAGCAUAGCUCCUACAGAAUAUCAGAUAAUAACAGAUCGCCCAUCCCCCUCUUCCUCAUGAAUCCAAAUAAUAAAACGUGUCCCCCCUCACCUCCUACACCUCAUCAUAUAUAACAACCCAUACUCUUUUCUUUUUUCUCUCUCUUCUAACUAACACCAUUCCCUCACAAAGCCACGUCACCCUUUUCUCUCCUCUUAUAAACUCUACCCCACCUAUUUUUAUUCUCUCCUGGGUAUGUAUCAAUGCCUUCUUCAUGAAUUAAAGCCUUGUCCUCAAGGCUAAACUCUGGAAACUGACUUCGAAUAUUUAAUUCAUCUUCCCAAGUAGCUUCGUCUGCAUUCUGCUCUCUCCAUUGAACCAAUACCUGCUUCUUAGUUUCCCCUCUUUUGGUGUAGUUCCUAGUGGCUAAGAUAGUCAUAGGAACUAAUACUUCGGCUCUGUCAUCAUCUAACCCUGUAGGGAGAGCAUCCUCAACCUUAUACUUGCCCACCGCUUUCUUCAACAAAGAUAUAUGAAAAACAGGAUGAAUCUUUGAAGUAGGUGGUAAUUUCAGACGAUAUGCCACCUCUCCUACUUUCUCCUCUACUUCAAAUGGUCCAUAAUAUUUAGCACUUAAUUUAUGAUUAAUUUUGCUCAUGACCGACUGCUGUCUAUUCUGUUUCAACUUCAAAAACACAAAAUCUCCCACCGAAAAAUGUCUUUCCCUUCGAUGCUUAUUAGCUUAAGUCAUCAUUCUGUCUUGGGCACAUAAUAAAUGAGACUUUAACUAUCUUAGUGCUUCAUCCCUCUCUAGAAGAUCCUUUUGAACAGCUUCUACCCUCACCUCUCCUUGAACCACCUGUACAAUCUUAGGAGGAAUUCUUCCAUACACCGCUUCAAAAGGAGUAAUUUGUGUGGAGCUGUGAUAAGUGGUAUUAAACCACAACUCUGCCCACGGCAUCCAAAUCGCCCACGUCAUCCAAAUCACCCACGUUUUGGGUUGAUCAGUAAUAAAACAUCUAAGGUAAGUUUCUAGACAUCGAUUAGGUACCUCAGUCUGGCCAUCCGAUUGCGGAUGAUAUGCCGUGCUCAUUUUCAUCUUUGUUCCUUGCAUCUUAAAGAGCUCUCUCCAAAACAAGCUCAUAAAUAUCGGAUCCCUAUCACUAACCACCGAAUUUGGUAUUCCAUGCAGCCUUACUAUUUCUCUUACAAAAAUCUCGGCCAAGGACUUUGCCGUAUAAGGAUGUUUAAGGGGAACAAAAUGACAGUAUUUUGUUAAACGAUCCACCACUACCAAAAUGGCUUCAAAGCCUUUAGAACGGGGCAAUCCAGUAAUAAAAUCCAUACUGAUAUCCUCCCAAACUCUUUCUGGGAUCGGUAAAGGCUGCAAUAAACCAUUAGGGGCUACUGUUAUGUAUUUCUGCCUUUGACAUGUAUCACAAGCUUGGACAAAUUGUUGGACAUCUUUCUUCAUUCCUUUCCAGUACACAUUGGCUGCAAUUCUUCUGUAGGUUCGAUAAAACCCUGAGUGACCCCCUUGCGGAGUAGAGUGAGCUUCUUCCAAUAACUUGUUGACCUACACAGAUUUCUCCGGUAUCACCAAGCAAUCCUUAUAAUAUAAAACACCUUGUUUAUAUUCAUAUCCCACAUAAACUUGUCCAACCUUCAUUUCUUCUAUUAUCCUCUUCAAUUUAUCAUCAACAUGUACCGCUGCAUUAAGCUCUUGCCAAUCUAACCAAACUGGAAAAGACACCAUGCUCUUCAUUUCUCCUUCAUCUCUACUUCGGGAUAGAGCAUCCGCCCCCUGAUUUUCUUUGCCUGGCUUAUAAACAAUUUCGAAAUUAUAGCCUAAUAAUCUAGCCAGCCAAUUUUGUUGUCCACCUGUUGUUAUCCUUUGUUGCAUUAAUUGCUGAAGACUCUUAUGGUUUGAAAAACAGUGAAUUUGCGACCCAAAAGAUAAGGUCUCCAGUGUUGGAUAGCCAAUGCCACUGCCAUCAACUCUCUUUCGUAUGCUGACUUUGUCAAAUUGCGUGAACUCAAGGCCUUACUAUAAUACGCCACAGGUCUUUUUCCUUGCAUUAGGAUUGCUCCAAUCCCUGUCCCAGAGGCAUCACAUUCCAGGACGAACUCUUCAAAAUUUGGGAGCCUCAACAUUAGUGCUGAUGUGACCCUUUGUUUGAGCUCAUCAAAUGCUUCUUGAGCUCGUUCAUUCCACCCAAAUCCAUCCUUUCUAGUCAGCUCUGUUAAUGGUUUAACUAUCUUACCAUAAUCUUUUAUGAACUUACGAUAAUAUCCUGUGAGACCCAAAAAUCCACGAACUCCCUUUACGUUCUUGGGAAUUGGCCACUCUAACACACUAUUAACCUUCGCUGGGUCCACCGCAACUCCAUGUAUAGAAAUAAUAUGUCCCAGAUACUCCAUUUGCUGUUUUUUCCAAUCCACAGUGGUCUCUCCCAACGUCGUUAACCACGACAUCCCCAAUAUCAUGUCCAUGUCCUCCAAAUCGAAGAGAAAAGCAUCAAUUUCAAACUCACCAUCAUCAAUCCUUACUUUGAUACCUCGACAAAUCCCUUGAGUCUCGGAUUUGUGCCCAUCUCCCAUCAGAAUCUUCAUUUGCUUGGUUCUUUCCCACUGCCAAUGCAAGGCUACCACAAGCUUUCGCGAAAUAAAAUUGUGUGUGGCUCCGCUAUUGUCCAAGAACAACAUUGGAAUCUCACCAAUCAGCCCACGCAACUUCAUAGUUCUCGGUUGAUCAUUUUGGUCUCUCGUGAGAGAGUAGAGAUUUAGCGUUGUGCAUUUUGCCACCACCUCAUCUUCGUCAUCUUUCUUCUUCAUUCCCUUCGCAUUCAACUUGGAUUUCCUCAUUCACCAUGACCACCCUUAGCUGCUUAACAGGACAUUGAUGAAGGGGACCGUACACCCCACCGCAUUUGAAACACAAGCCCCUUUGUUUUCGGUCGAGAAGUUCUUGAUAAGAGAGAUGAUUUGCUCCUCUGUCACGUGACCCUCCUUUAUUCUUUGCACCCCAAUCUUUCUGAACACUUGGGCCAGGCUCAUUUCCACCCCAACUUCCCCCGUACUGUUUUGGACCCGUUUUUCCCACCACAGUCAAAAUGGGUCGGUGCCCUGUUUGAGAUCUGUCCCCUCGAGACUCUCCCCUUCCCUUCCAUAUGGUAUUUCUCCCUGAUAUCUCCACAUCAAUGGCACGAGCUACAUUCAUCAUGCGCCCCCUGGACAAAGGAUGUGCCACGUGCAAGCUUCGUUUUCUAGUAUGUAUUCCGUUCUUCAGCCCUUGUGUAAAAUACGAAAAAUAUUGUUCAUCUGGCAUUCGUGGCACCUGAGCAAUGAGACACUCAAAACUUGUAAUAUAAUCUUCAAUACUUCCUAUUUGUUUUAUGGCAGCCAAUUGAUCAUAAAUACUCCCUUCUCCCCUGCCUCCGUAUCGCUCCAACAUCUCUCGUUUCAAGUCUUCCCAAGUUAACUCAUCAUAUUCAUUCAAUAAAGCAUGGAAAAAAUGAAUCGUGCUCCCUUCCAUACACAGUUGAGCAAGAUUCACCCAGACUGCCUCUCGUGUCUCUUGUACGUUAAAAUAAACUUCAGCUCUCGCUAUCCACCCCGCUGGGUCUUCUCCAUAGAACGGUGGUAAUUCUAUCUUCUUCAUCGAUUGCCGAAAUUCGGCUAAAUCGUCCCCCUUGAGUUGUCUCAUACUUUUCGUUCUCUGUGUAUUCACCGAUUCUGACGCCAACUCUUCGUUCUCCCCCUCAUUCACAUUGGUGAACUUCGACAUUAAGUGAAGGAGCUUUGAUUGAUUCUCAGCGGCUUCUCGGCGUAAGGUUACGAUCUGUUCUGCUGAAUCCUUACGCAACUUUUCCAAAUUAGUUUGGCUUUGUAACGAUUGCGCCACGAGCUCCUCGACCACCGCUUUGAGUUUAGCGAUCUCGCCCACAAUCAGCUCCGCCUCAUUCUCCUCACUUGCUGGCUCUCCUUGAACAUUGUUCUUUCUUGGUGGCAUGGUCUCCGAUCGGGAAAUAUUGAUCCGGCAGGUCGGACCAAUUGUUAGAAACCAAAAUUUACUAAUCAACGAAAUGAAUAGUAAGAAUAAAAAUGAUGCAAAUCUAGUAUUAUUAUUAACUAGAAAACAUCAGAAGGUUCCAGCACCCUCUGCCCAGUGCAAGCUCCUCACCGAAAAAUGAUCAAAACGUGUCCCCCCUCACACCUCCUACACCUCAUCAUAUAUAACAACCCAUACUCUUUUCUUUUUUCUCUCUCUUCUAACUAACACCAUUCCCUCACAAAGCCACAUCACCCUUUUCUCUCCUCUUAUAAACUCUACCCUACCUAUUUUUAUUCUCUCCUGGGUAUGUAUCACCCCUCUUCCUCAUGAAUCCAAAUAAUAAAAAAUAUUUUCUCAUGUUUAACAACCUCUCCACUACUCAUGCCACCUCAUAGGACUUCCCAUCUUCCUUUUACUCACAUACACACUCCAUGCCUUAGGUGUCUCAGACCCCUUCUGGACCAAUGACUCUGUCCCAUAAACUAGUUCGGAUCCAAUAUUGUUUUUGGGAAGUUGUGCUUAGUAUUUUCUAUUUUAUAUGAAUAAAGGAGUAGGACACCAAAAUGGUUUAUCAGACAUAGGGGUCGGACUAGGCUUAACAUUACAACUUGUUUGGAAUAUGAGCUGGGCUGGUCCACAUUUUUUUCUAUUUACCUGUUGGGCUUGUUGGGACUGUCUACUUUGCCAUUUAUUUACUUGCAUAAAUGAUGAAUAAUAGGAGAAUAUUUUUUUAUGACCAUAUUAUUUCCUUUGCUAUGAAGUAACCAUUUUGAAGAGGCAAUAUUAUUUACAAUGACGAUGAAAAAGUUUAGUCAUGAUUUUUAUUCUUUAAUGUUAGUAUUAAUGAUUCAUUUUACUAACGACAACUACGUAU
rnacentral:lncRNA from 1 species